rnacentral:rRNA from 1 species
AGAGUUUGAUCAUGGCUCAGAACGAACGUUAGCGGCGCGCCUAACACAUGCAAGUCGAGCGAGAAAGGGCUUCGGCCCGGUACAGCGGCGCACGGGUGAGUAACACGUAGGUAAUCUUCCCUCGAGCGGGGGAUAACCUUCCGAAAGGAGGGCUAAUACCGCAUAAGACCACGACUUCGUAAGAGGUUGAGGUCAAAGCGGCCUCUAUUCAUAAGGGCACUUGAGGAUGAGCCUGCGGCCCAUCAGCUAGUUGGUAGGGUAACGGCCUACCAAGGCGAAGACGGGCAGCUGGUCUGAGAGGAUGAUCAGCCACACUGGAACUGAGACACGGUCCAGACUCCUACGGGAGGCAGCAGUGGGGAAUCUUGCGCAAUGGGCGAAAGCCUGACGCAGCGACGCCGCGUGAGUGAUGAAGGCCUUCGGGUUGUAAAGCUCUGUGGAGGGGGACGAAUAAGUCGGAACGAACAGCUCCGAUGAUGACGGUACCCCUUUAGCAAGCACCGGCUAACUCUGUGCCAGCAGCCGCGGUAAUAC